GUGGGGAAUCUUGCGCAAUGGGCGAAAGCCUGACGCAGCCAUGCCGCGUGAAUGAUGAAGGUCUUAGGAUUGUAAAAUUCUUUCACCGGGGACGAUAAUGACGGUACCCGGAGAAGAAGCCCCGGCUAACUUCGUGCCAGCAGCCGCGGUAAUACGAAGGGGGCUAGCGUUGCUCGGAAUUACUGGGCGUAAAGGGCGCGUAGGCGGACAGGUUAGUCAGAGGUGAAAGACCAGGGCUCAACCUUGGAAUUGCCUUUGAUACUGGCUGUCUUGAGUACGGGAGAGGUGAGUGGAACUCCGAGUGUAGAGGUGAAAUUCGUAGAUAUUCGGAAGAACACCAGUGGCGAAGGCGACUCACUGGCCCGUUACUGACGCUGAGGCGCGAAAGCGUGGGGAGCAAACAGGAUUAGAAACCCCUGUAGUCC
rnacentral:rRNA from 1 species